rnacentral:rRNA from 1 species
AUUGAACGCUGGCGGCAGGCCUAACACAUGCAAGUCGAGCGGAUGAAGAGAGCUUGCUCUCUGAUUUAGCGGCGGACGGGUGAGUAAUGCCUAGGAAUCUGCCUGGUAGUGGGGGAUAACGUUCCGAAAGGAACGCUAAUACCGCGUACGUCCUACGAGAGCAAGCAGGGGACCUUCGGGCCUUGCGCUAUCAGAUGAGCCUAGGUCGGAUUAGUGAGUUUGUGAGGUAAUGGCUCAACAAGGCGACGAUCCGUAACUGGUCUGAGAGGAUGAUCAGUCACACUGGAACUGAGACACGGUCCAGACUCCUACGGGAGGCAGCAGUGGGGAAUAUUGGACAAUGGGCGAAAGCCUGAUCCAGCCAUGCCGCGUGUGUGAAGAAGGUCUUCGGAUUGUAAAGCACUUUAAGUUGGGAGGAAGGGCAGUAAGUUAAUACCUUGCUGUUUUGACGUUACCGACAGAAUAAGCACCGGCUAACUUCGUGCCAGCCGCCGCCGUAAAAC